rnacentral:rRNA from 1 species
GACGAACGCUGGCGGCGUGCUUAACACAUGCAAGUCGAACGAUGAUGCCCAGCUUGCUGGGUGGAUUAGUGGCGAACGGGUGAGUAAUACGUGAGUAACCUGCCCUUGACUCUGGGAUAAGCCUGGGAAACUGGGUCUAAUACUGGAUACUACCUCUCAUCGCAUGGUGGGUGGUGGAAAGGGUUUUACUGGUUUUGGAUGGGCUCACGGCCUAUCAGCUUGUUGGUGGGGUAAUGGCUCACCAAGGCGACGACGGGUAGCCGGCCUGAGAGGGUGACCGGCCACACUGGGACUGAGACACGGCCCAGACUCCUACGGGAGGCAGCAGUGGGGAAUAUUGCACAAUGGGCGGAAGCCUGAUGCAGCGACGCCGCGUGAGGGAUGACGGCCUUCGGGUUGUAAACCUCUUUCAGUAGGGAAGAAGCGAGAGUGACGGUACCUGCAGAAGAAGCGCCGGCUAACUACGUGCCAGCAGCCGCGGUAAUACGUAGGGCGCAAGCGUUGUCCGGAAUUAUUGGGCGUAAAGAGCUCGUAGGCGGUUUGUCGCGUCUGCUGUGAAAGCCCGGGGCUCAACCCCGGGUCUGCAGUGGGUACGGGCAGACUAGAGCGCAGUAGGGGAGACUGGAAUUCCUGGUGUAGCGGUGAAAUGCGCAGAUAUCAGGAGGAACACCGAUGGCGAAGGCAGGUCUCUGGGCUGUUACUGACGCUGAGGAGCGAAAGCAUGGGGAGCGAACAGGAUUAGAUACCCUGGUAGUCCAUGCCGUAAACGUUGGGCACUAGGUGUGGGGGACAUUCCACGUUCUCCGCGCCGUAGCUAACGCAUUAAGUGCCCCGCCUGGGGAGUACGGCCGCAAGGCUAAAACUCAAAGGAAUUGACGGGGGCCCGCACAAGCGGCGGAGCAUGCGGAUUAAUUCGAUGCAACGCGAAGAACCUUACCAAGGCUUGACAUUCACCGGACCGCCCCAGGGAUGGGGUUUCCCUUCGGGGUCGGUGGACAGGUGGUGCAUGGUUGUCGUCAGCUCGUGUCGUGAGAUGUUGGGUUAAGUCCCGCAACGAGCGCAACCCUCGUUCUAUGUUGCCAGCACGUGAUGGUGGGGACUCAUAGGAGACUGCCGGGGUCAACUCGGAGGAAGGUGGGGAUGACGUCAAAUCAUCAUGCCCCUUAUGUCUUGGGCUUCACGCAUGCUACAAUGGCCGGUACAAAGGGUUGCGAUACUGUGAGGUGGAGCUAAUCCCAAAAAGCCGGUCUCAGUUCGGAUUGAGGUCUGCAACUCGACCUCAUGAAGUCGGAGUCGCUAGUAAUCGCAGAUCAGCAACGCUGCGGUGAAUACGUUCCCGGGCCUUGUACACACCGCCCGUCAAGUCACGAAAGUUGGUAACACCCGAAGCCGGUGGCCUAACCCCUUUGUGGGAGGGAGCCGUCGAAGGUGGGACUGGCGAUUGGGACU